rnacentral:rRNA from 1 species
CAGUCGCCACGGGAAUACGUAGGGUGCAAGCGUUAAUCGGAAUUACUGGGCGUAAAGCGUGCGCAGGCGGUUAUAUAAGACAGAUGUGAAAUCCCCGGGCUCAACCUGGGAACUGCAUUUGUGACUGUAUAGCUAGAGUACGGCAGAGGGGGACGGAAUUCCGCGUGUAGCAGUGAAAUGCGUAGAUAUGCGGAGGAACACCGAUGGCGAAGGCAAUCCCCUGGGCCUGUACUGACGCUCAUGCACGAAAGCGUGGGGAGCAAACAGGAUUAGAUACCCCUGUAGUCCCUGUCUCUUAUAC